GAGGCAGUAAUAGUUCUUAAGAACUGUAAGUCCUCAGAGGUGGGCUUUUACAAAUUGAGACAGAGCAAGACUAUUAGGAUGAAAGAGCUGGUGUAGAUAGAACAGAAUUUGUCUAGUGUCAGGGGUUCCCUGUGAGGGUGUGAGCUGCACUGUAUGGAUUCCCUGUGGGUGGGAUGGGAAAUGGCCCUGGAGGGCUGCUGUUCUGGCUGCCUAGUCAGCCCAGUUGUUUCCCUUAGAAAUGUUGGAGCUAUUGAUCUGAUGAGACCGGUGGUGGACAAUUCCUAUAGCCUUGGGGAAGUGGGAAGCCUUUAGCAUGGCCAUUAUUUGGCCUGAGUUAGAUAUGGAUACCCCUUUUGCUAUAAGGAGGCCAUGCUCUCUCCAAAUAGCAGCGUGGGACAGGAGGACAUGAAAAGCAUAUUUGGAGUGUGUAUAAACAUUUAGGGAUUGUCCUUGUGUCAAUUAAAAGGCAUAGGUGAGAGUUAUCAACUCAGCCUGUUGAUUAAUGAUGUGUGCAGGUAAUGUCUGUGCUUCUAUUUACCUCAGUAUCGGACACUAUUGCAUAGCCUGCUUUAUGGGUCCCCACAUGUGAAAAGGAGCUGCCAUCUGUGUACCAGGUAUAAGUAGCCUGAGGCAAUGUGCCCUCCUAUAUGUGUGAAGGGUGAGGUUACUGUAGAUGUAACGUUUUUAUUAAAUAAGAAACACAGAGCCAAUACAGAGAUGAAAGCCAAGAGGU